UACGGAGGGUGCAAGCGUUAUCCGGAUUCACUGGGCUUAAAGGGUGCGUAGGCGGGCAGGUAAGUCCGUGGUGAAAUCUCUGAGCUUAACUCAGAAACUGCCAUGGAUACUAUUUGUCUUGAAUAUUGUGGAGGUAAGCGGAAUAUGUCAUGUAGCGGUGAAAUGCUUAGAUAUGACAUAGAACACCAAUUGCGAAGGCAGCUUACUAGACAGUUAUUGACGCUGAGGCACGAAAGCGUGGGGAGCAAACAGG
rnacentral:rRNA from 1 species